rnacentral:rRNA from 1 species
AUUGAACGCUGGCGGCAGGCCUAACACAUGCAAGUCGAGCGAGCGGCGGACGGGUGAGUAAUGUCUGGGAAACUGCCUGCUGGAGGGGGGUAACUACUGGAAACGCUAGCUAAUACCGCAUAUCACCAGAUGUGCCCAGAUGGGAUUAGCUAGUAGGUGGGGUAAUGGCUCACCGAGGCGACGAUCCCCAGCUGGUCUGCGAGGAUGACCAGCCAUACUGGAACUGAGACACGGUCCAGACUCCUACGGGAGGCAGAAGUGGGGAAUAUUGCACGAUGGGCGCAAGCCUGAUGCAGCCAUGCCGCGUGUAUGAAGAAGGCCUUCGGGUUGUAAAGUACUUUCAGCGGGGAGGCGUUACCCGCAGAAGAAGCACCGGCUAACUCCGUGCCAGCAGCCGCGGUAAUAC